rnacentral:rRNA from 1 species
GAUUAACGUUGGCAGUGCGCCUAACACAUGCAAGUCGAGCGAUAUAGCGGCAGACGAGAGAGUAAUAGUAAGGAACUUACCCCCGAGUGAAGGAUAGCCAGCCGAAAGGUUGGGUAAUCCUGCAUAAUAUCGAAAGAUCAAAGCCUUCGGGCGCUUGGGGAGAGGCCUUACUCCUAUCAGCUUGUUGGUGAGGUAAUGGCUCACCAAGGCGAUGACGGGUAGCUGGUCUGAGAGGAUGAUCAGCCUCGAUGGGACUGAGACACGGCCCAUACUCCUACGGGAGGCAGCAGUUGGGGAUUUUGCACAAUGGAGGAAACUCUGAUGCAGCGACACUGCGUGAAGGAUGAAGGUUCUAGGAUCGUAAACUUCUUUUAUCAGGGAGUAAUCUUGAAAGUACCUGAUGAAUAAGCAACGGCUAACUCCGUG